ACAGAUAAAGCACCGUGGCUCAGAGAAAGCAAGUGACUUGCCUAAAAUCACAGGGUCCACAGAGUCACAGCCAGAAUGCAAGCCUGAGCCCUCAGAUCUGGAGUCUGCCCUCUUCACCAUGGCUCCUGACUCUCCCAAACUCCAGGAAGGCCAAGGGAGGGCGGACAGACACACAGAAAAGAAGAAGACAAUGUGAAGACCAAGGCAGAGAUGGCAGUGAUGUGGCUACAAGCAAAGGAAUGCUGGCAGCCACCAGCAGCUGGAAGAGGCAUGGAGUGAUUUCUCCCCCAGAGCCUCCUGUGGGAGCAUGGCCUGCUGACACCUUGACUUCAGCUGAGUGAAACUGAUGUUCACCCUCCGGCCUCCAGAACUGUGUCAGAAUAAACUUCUGUUGUUUUGA